GCCCGGUUAGCUCAAUCGGUAGAGCGUGAGACUUUUAAUCUCAAGGCUGCGGGUUCGACCCCCGCAUCGGGCA
rnacentral:tRNA from 4 species